rnacentral:rRNA from 1 species
GACGAACGCUGGCGGCGUGCUUAACACAUGCAAGUCGAACGAAGAGCGAUGGAAGCUUGCUUCUAUCAAUCUUAGUGGCGAACGGGUGAGUAACGCGUAAUCAACCUGCCCUUCAGAGGGGGACAACAGUUGGAAACGACUGCUAAUACCGCAUACGAUCCAAUCUCGGCAUCGAGGAUGGAUGAAAGGUGGCCUCUAUUUACAAGCUAUCACUGAAGGAGGGGAUUGCGCCUGAUUAGCUAGUUGGAGGGGUAACGGCCCACCAAGGCGAUGAUCAGUAGCCGGUCUGAGAGGAUGAACGGCCACAUUGGGACUGAGACACGGCCCAGACUCCUACGGGAGGCAGCAGUGGGGAAUCUUCCGCAAUGGACGAAAGUCUGACGGAGCAACGCCGCGUGAGUGAUGACGGCCUUCGGGUUGUAAAGCUCUGUUAAUCGGGACGAAAGGCCUUCUUGCGAAUAGUUAGAAGGAUUGACGGUACCGGAAUAGAAAGCCACGGCUAACUACGUGCCAGCAGCCGCGGUAAUACGUAGGUGGCAAGCGUUGUCCGGAAUUAUUGGGCGUAAAGCGCGCGCAGGCGGAUUGGUCAGUCUGUCUUAAAAGUUCGGGGCUUAACCCCGUGAUGGGAUGGAAACUGCCAAUCUAGAGUAUCGGAGAGGAAAGUGGAAUUCCUAGUGUAGCGGUGAAAUGCGUAGAUAUUAGGAAGAACACCAGUGGCGAAGGCGACUUUCUGGACGAAAACUGACGCUGAGGCGCGAAAGCCAGGGGAGCGAACGGGAUUAGAUACCCCGGUAGUCCUGGCCGU